AGAGUUUGAUCCUGGCUCAGGAUGAACGCUGGCGGCGUGCUUAACACAUGCAAGUCGAACGGGAAACUUUUCAUUGAAGCUUCGGCAGAUUUGGUCUGUUUCUAGUGGCGGACGGGUGAGUAACGCGUGGGUAACCUGCCUUAUACAGAGGGAUAACAACCAGAAAUGGUUGCUAAUACCGCAUAAGCGCACAGGACCGCAUGGUCCGGUGUGAAAAACUCCGGUGGUAUAAGAUGGACCCGCGUUGGAUUAGCUAGUUGGCAGGGUAACGGCCUACCAAGGCGACGAUCCAUAGCCGGCCUGAGAGGGUGAACGGCCACAUUGGGACUGAGACACGGCCCAGACUCCUACGGGAGGCAGCAGUGGGGAAUAUUGCACAAUGGGGGAAACCCUGAUGCAGCGACGCCGCGUGAAGGAAGAAGUAUCUCGGUAUGUAAACUUCUAUCAGCAGGGAAGAUAGUGACGGUACCUGACUAAGAAGCCCCGGCUAACUACGUGCCAGCAGCCGCGGUAAUACGUAGGGGGCAAGCGUUAUCCGGAUUUACUGGGUGUAAAGGGAGCGUAGACGGACUGGCAAGUCUGAUGUGAAAGGCGGGGGCUCAACCCCUGGACUGCAUUGGAAACUGUUAGUCUUGAGUGCCGGAGAGGUAAGCGGAAUUCCUAGUGUAGCGGUGAAAUGCGUAGAUAUUAGGAGGAACACCAGUGGCGAAGGCGGCUUACUGGACGGUAACUGACGUUGAGGCUCGAAAGCGUGGGGAGCAAACAGAAUUAGAUACCCUGGUAGUCCACGCCGUAAACGAU
rnacentral:rRNA from 1 species